rnacentral:rRNA from 1 species
UACGUAGGGGCUAGCGUUAUCCGGAAUUACUGGGCGUAAAGGGUGCGUAGGUGGUUUCUUAAGUCAGAGGUUAGAGGCUACGGCUCAACCGUAGUAAGCCUUUGAAACUGAGAAACUUGAGUGCGGGAGAGGAGAGUAGAAUUCCUAGUGUAGCGGUGAAAUGCGUAGAUAUUAGGAGGAAUACCAGUUGCGAAGGCGGCUCUCUGGACUGUAACUGACACUGAGGCACGAAAGCGUGGGGAGCAAACAGGAUUAGAUACCCCGGUAGUCCCUGAGCGGGCU